rnacentral:rRNA from 1 species
AUACGGAGGGUGCAAGCGUUACUCGGAAUCACUGGGCGUAAAGCGCGCGCAGGCGGGCUGAUAAGUUGGGUGUGAAAGCCUACGGCUCAACCGUAGAACUGCAUCCAAAACUGUCAGUCUAGAGUCUGGGAGGGGAAGAUGGAAUUAGUUGUGUAGGGGUAAAAUCCGUAGAGAUAACUAGGAAUACCAAAAGCGAAGGCGAUCUUCUGGAACAGUACUGACGCUGAGGCGCGAAAGCGUGGGGAGCAAACAGGAUUAGAAACCCUAGUAGUCC